GUACAACUCUGAGCGGUGGAUCACUCGGCUCGUGUGUCGAUGAAGAGUGCAGCCAACUGUGUGAAUUAAUGUGAACUGCCUACUGCUUUGAACAUCGACAUCUUGAACGCAUAUUGCGGCCGCGGGAUGUCCCGUGGCCACGCCUGGCCGAGGGUCGGCU
rnacentral:rRNA from 1 species